rnacentral:tRNA from 1 species
AGGGAUAUAACUUAGUUGGUAGAGUGCUUGCCUAGCGAUUACAAGGCCCUGGGUUCAAUCCCCAGUACCACCA